rnacentral:rRNA from 1 species
AUUGAACGCUGGCGGCAUGCCUUACACAUGCAAGUCGAACGGCAGCACGGGAGCAAUCCUGGUGGCGAGUGGCGAACGGGUGAGUAAUAUAUCGGAACGUGCCCAGUAGUGGGGGAUAACUGCUCGGAAGAGCAGCUAAUACCGCAUACGACCUGAGGGUGAAAGGGGGGGAUCGCAAGACCUCUCGCUAUUGGAGCGGCCGAUAUCGGAUUAGCUAGUUGGUGGGGUAAAGGCCUACCAAGGCAACGAUCUGUAGUUGGUCUGAGAGGACGACCAGCCACACUGGGACUGAGACACGGCCCAGACUCCUACGGGAGGCAGCAGUGGGGAAUUUUGGACAAUGGGCGCAAGCCUGAUCCAGCAAUGCCGCGUGCAGGAAGAAGGCCUUCGGGUUGUAAACUGCUUUUGUCAGGGAAGAAAUCCUCUAGGUUAAUACCCUUGGGGGGAUGACGGUACCUGAAGAAUAAGCACCGGCUAACUACGUGCCAGCAGCCGCCGUAAUAC